GACGAACGCUGGCGGCGUGCCUAAUACAUGCAAGUCGAACGCAGUGGGGACGGGUGAGUAACACGUGGGUAACCUCCCAUCAGAGGGGAUAACACUUGGAAACAGGUGCUAAACCGAUACUGAUGGAUGGACCCGCGGUGCAUUAGCUAGUUGGUGAGGUAACGGGCCACCAAGGCCACGAUACAUAGCCGCCCUGAGAGGGUGAUCGGCGACACUGGGACUGGAAAACGGGCCCGACUCCUACAGGAGGGAGCAGUAGGGAAACUGCGGCAAUGGGGGGAACCCUGACCGAGCACCGUGGCGUGAGUGAAGAAGGUUUUCGGAUCGUAAAGCUCUGUUGUUAAGGAAGCGGUACCUAACCAGAAAGGGACGGCUAACUACGUGCCAGCAGCCGCGGUAAUUC
rnacentral:rRNA from 1 species